rnacentral:rRNA from 1 species
CCUGGGGAGUACGGUCGCAAGAUUAAAACUCAAAUGAAUUGACGGGGGCCCGCACAAGCGGUGGAGCAUGUGGUUUAAUUCGAUGCAACGCGAAGAACCUUACCUACUCUUGACAUCCAGAGAAUCUGGCGGAGACGCUGGAGUGCCUUCGGGAGCUCUGAGACAGGUGCUGCAUGGCUGUCGUCAGCUCGUGUUGUGAAAUGUUGGGUUAAGUCCCGCAACGAGCGCAACCCUUAUCCUUGUUUGCCAGCGAGUAAUGUCGGGAACUCCAGGGAGACUGCCGGUGAUAAACCGGAGGAAGGUGGGGACGACGUCAAGUCAUCAUGGCCCUUACGAGUAGGGCUACACACGUGCUACAAUGGCGCAUACAGAGGGCGGCCAACUUGCGAAAGUGAGCGAAUCCCAAAAAGUGCGUCGUAGUCCGGAUUGGAGUCUGCAACUCGACUCCAUGAAGUCGGAAUCGCUAGUAAUCGUGGAUCAGAAUGCCACGGUGAAUACGUUCCCGGGCCUUGUACACACCGCCCGUCACACCAUGGGAGUGGGCUGCAAAAGAAGUGGGUAGUUUAACCUUGGGGAGGACGCUCACCACUUUGUGGUUCAUGACUGGGGUGAAGUCGUAACAAGGUAGCGCUAGGGGAACCUGGCGCUGGAUCACCUCCUUAUACGAUGAU